rnacentral:rRNA from 1 species
AUUGAACGCUGGCGGCAGGCCUAACACAUGCAAGUCGAGCGGAUGAAGGGAGCUUGCUCCUGGAUUCAGCGGCGGACGGGUGAGUAAUGCCUAGGAAUCUGCCUGGUUGUGUGGGAUAACGUCCGGUAACGGGCGCUAAUACCGCAUACGUCCUGAGGGAGCAAGUGGGGGAUCUUCGGACCUCACGCUAUCAGCUGAGCCUAGGUCGGAUUAGCUAGUUGGUGGGGUAAAGGCCUACCAAGGCGACGAUCCGUAACUGGUCUGAGAGGAUGAUCAGUCACACUGGAAGGGAGACACGGUCCAGACACCUACGGGAGGAAGCAGUGGGGAAGAGUGGACAAUGGGGGAAAGAAUGAUACAGGAAGGCCGCGUGUGAGAAGAAGGUCGUCGGAUUGUAAAGCACUUUAAGUUGGGAGGAAGGGCAGUAAGUUAAAACCUUGAUGUUUUGACGUUACCAACAGAAAAAGCACCGGCUAACUACGUG